UUUCAAUUUUCAUGUAUUUACAUUAUAUUAGUUGUUCACGAAAACGUGAUAAUUUAAUUUUGUACUUUAUUUGUGUCAUUUUUGGGAAAAGAGUUUUAUAUUCAUUUUAUGUCGUGACGUCAUUUCUGUUCAGCCCGUGCUGCGUCCUCAGACUGCGUUGAGCACACUGAGGAGAGGUGGGAAGAAAAUCACAGAACGAAAACAUUUCUCAUUGUUGUACUCUCUCUCUACUCCAUCCAGACCGCGUUGAGCACGCUGAGGAGAGGUGGGAAGAAAAUCACAGAACGAAAAGAUUUCUCAUUGUUGUACUCUCUCUCUACUCCAUC